AAAUGCCAAACUAAUGAUGUUUCUUGACGUUUAGCAGGUUGUCUACUAAAAGUGGGAGUUUCUACAGGUGGGUGUGCCGGUGCAUUACCUGAGUUACGAGCAGGACUAGUAGGUGUAUCAUCUAAAUCUGGUGCUUGGAUUUCAUUAUCAUCAUUAUCAUUCUCAUUUUCCUCUUAGAUAGUUUCAUUAGGAUAAAGAGCAUUCAUAAUUCCAUCAUCUAAUCUAUCACCUACUGUAACAUCAUGUAGAAAUUCACUAUCGGUAA
rnacentral:lncRNA from 1 species